GUUAUUUUAGUUUAAUUAAGAAUGUGCAACUUGUAAUUGUAUGGUUUAAAUAGCU
rnacentral:tRNA from 1 species